rnacentral:rRNA from 1 species
UGGGGAAUCUUGCACAAUGGGCGAAAGCCUGAUGCAGCGACGCCGCGUGAGGGAUGACGGCCUUCGGGUUGUAAACCUCUUUCGGCAGGGACGAAGCGCAAGUGACGGUACCUGCAGAAGAAGCACCGGCUAACUACGUGCCAGCAGCCGCGGUAAUACGUAGGGUGCGAGCGUUGUCCGGAAUUAUUGGGCGUAAAGAGCUCGUAGGCGGUUUGUUGCGUCGGCCGUGAAAACCUGGGGCUUAACUCCGGGCUUGCGGUCGAUACGGGCAGACUUGAGUUCGGCAGGGGAGACUGGAAUUCCUGGUGUAGCGGUGAAAUGCGCAGAUAUCAGGAGGAACACCGGUGGCGAAGGCGGGUCUCUGGGCCGAUACUGACGCUGAGGAGCGAAAGCGUGGGGAGCGAACAGGAUUAGAUACCCGGGUAGUCC